rnacentral:rRNA from 1 species
ACGGAGGGUGCAAGCGUUAUUCGGAAUCACUGGGCGUAAAGGGUGCGUAGGCGGUUUGGAAAGUCAGAUGUGAAAGCCUACAGCUUAACUGUAGAACUGCAUUUGAAACUUCCAGACUAGAAUACUGAAGGGGCAGAUGGAAUUAGUGGUGUAGGGGUAAAAUCCGUAGAUAUCACUAGGAAUACCGAAAGCGAAAGCGAUCUGCUGGGAAGUUAUUGACGCUGAGGCACGAAAGCGUGGGGAGCAAACGGG